AUUUAUAUAGUUUAAAAAAAACAUUACAUUUUCAUUGUAAAAUUGAUUAAUUCUAUAAAUA
rnacentral:tRNA from 1 species